AGCGUAGACGGGAUGUUAAGUCAGCUGUGAAAGUUUGGGGCUCAACCUUAAAAUUGCAGUUGAUACUGGCGUCCUUGAGUGCGGUUGAGGUAUGUGGAAUUCGUGGUGUAGCGGUGAAAUGCUUAGAUAUCACGAAGAACUCCGAUUGCGAAGGCAGCAUACUAAGCCGCUACUGACGUUGAGGCUCGAAAGUGUGGGUAUCAAACA
rnacentral:rRNA from 1 species